CUCAAUAUUCAGUUUUAAAUUUUCGUUUUUUAAAUAUACAUUGAAAAAAUAUGUUUGAUAAUAUUUCUAGGUUAAAUGUAUUACUUUCGUAUAGUAUUUUAUAAGUUACAGGAUAAAUUGAGGCACAAGUUAAAUAGAAAUGUAAAAUAUAUGUGGUGAUAAAAUACAGAAAUAGGUUUUGUAAAUAGAAGAGAAAUUUUAAACGAAAUACAUGCAUAAAAUAUGCAAGGUGACAGAGAAAGUGCAGCUAUCCUGAUGAAAAAUCAACUUCAGAUAGAAAAGGAACAAAAAUUUCUUCAAAUUAAAAAAAAAAAAACGAAUGUUAAAGUAAUUGCGUAUAUACUACAACUAAAACAAAACAGAAAUCAUACCUGAGUUAUCGAGGCGCUGAUUUUUUAUCUACGGAUGAAAUCAUAUAAUACGAUUAUGAUAUUUGUAUACAUUUCUUUCUUGCUGCAAGCGAUUGAUAUUCGCCAAUCAUUUCCAUAGAUCAAUCUCUCGAAGUAAAAAAAACGACCGACCUAUAAGGAAUAUUGACAGAAAUGAUUAUUGGCAAAUAACCGGAGGUAUAAUUAUAUAUCAGAGGAUGUACGUAUACUAUGAAAUGUCGCACCGCUGAAAGUUCGGUAUAUUUAACAGUGGCCGCACGUAUGAGAUAUAAGUUUGAUAUCGCAGUUGCGUGCAGAAUCACCGAAUUAUAUCGACUUGCAGCGAUCGAAGUGUGAAGCGUGCCGACGAUCGUGCGUUGAAUAUAUAAUCGAUUUUUUGUGAGCCUUGAGAAACGACUAUCCUUUAAAAAUUCAACGAGUUUAUUCG